AUGAACGCUGGCGGCGUGCCUAAUACAUGCAAGUCGAGCGAACGGACGAGAAGCUUGCUUCUCUGAUGUUAGCGGCGGACGGGUGAGUAACACGUGGAUAACCUACCUAUAAGACUGGGAUAACUUCGGGAAACCGGAGCUAAUACCGGAUAAUAUUUUGAACCGCAUGGUUCAUAAGUGAAAGACGGUCUUGCUGUCACUUAUAGAUGGAUCCGCGCUGCAUUAGCUAGUUGGUAAGGUAACGGCUUACCAAGGCAACGAUGCAUAGUCGACCUGAGAGGGUGAUCGGCCACACUGGAACUGAGACACGGUCCAGACUCCUACGGGAGGCAGCAGUAGGGAAUCUUCCGCAAUGGGCGAAAGCCUGACGGAGCAACGCCGCGUGAGUGAUGAAGGUCUUCGGAUCGUAAAACUCUGUUAUUAGGGAAGAACAUAUGUGUAAGUAACUGUGCACAUCUUGACGGUACCUAAUCAGAAAGCCACGGCUAACUACGUG
rnacentral:rRNA from 1 species